rnacentral:rRNA from 1 species
AGAUUAAGUUAUUAAGGGCGCACGGUGGAUGCCUUGGCACUAGAAGCCGAUGAAGGACGUUACUAACGACGAUAUGCUUUGGGGAGCUGUAAGUAAGCUUUGAUCCAGAGAUUUCCGAAUGGGGAAACCCAGCAUGAGUUAUGUCAUGUUAUCGAUAUGUGAAUACAUAGCAUAUCAGAAGGCACACCCGGAGAACUGAAACAUCUUAGUACCCGGAGGAAGAGAAAGAAAAUUCGAUUCCCUUAGUAGCGGCGAGCGAAACGGGAAGAGCCCAAACCAACAAGCUUGCUUGUUGGGGUUGUAGGACACUCUAUACGGAGUUACAAAGGACGACAUUAGACGAAUCAUCUGGAAAGAUGAAUCAAAGAAGGUAAUAAUCCUGUAGUCGAAAAUGUUGUCUCUCUUGAGUGGAUCCUGAGUACGACGGAGCACGUGAAAUUCCGUCGGAAUCUGGGAGGACCAUCUCCUAAGGCUAAAUACUCUCUAGUGACCGAUAGUGAACCAGUACCGUGAGGGAAAGGUGAAAAGCACCCCGGAAGGGGAGUGAAAUAGAACCUGAAACCGUGUGCUUACAAGUAGUCAGAGCCCGUUAAUGGGUGAUGGCGUGCCUUUUGUAGAAUGAACCGGCGAGUUACGAUUUGAUGCAAGGUUAAGCAGUAAAUGUGGAGCCGUAGCGAAAGCGAGUCUGAAUAGGGCGUUUAGUAUUUGGUCGUAGACCCGAAACCAGGUGAUCUACCCUUGGUCAGGUUGAAGUUCAGGUAACACUGAAUGGAGGACCGAACCGACUUACGUUGAAAAGUGAGCGGAUGAACUGAGGGUAGCGGAGAAAUUCCAAUCGAACCUGGAGAUAGCUGGUUCUCUCCGAAAUAGCUUUAGGGCUAGCCUCAAGUGAUGAUUAUUGGAGGUAGAGCACUGUUUGGACGAGGGGCCCCUCUCGGGUUACCGAAUUCAGACAAACUCCGAAUGCCAAUUAAUUUAACUUGGGAGUCAGAACAUGGGUGAUAAGGUCCGUGUUCGAAAGGGAAACAGCCCAGACCACCAGCUAAGGUCCCAAAAUAUAUGUUAAGUGGAAAAGGAUGUGGCGUUGCCCAGACAACUAGGAUGUUGGCUUAGAAGCAGCCAUCAUUUAAAGAGUGCGUAAUAGCUCACUAGUCGAGUGACACUGCGCCGAAAAUGUACCGGGGCUAAACAUAUUACCGAAGCUGUGGAUUGUCCUUUGGACAAUGGUAGGAGAGCGUUCUAAGGGCGUUGAAGCAUGAUCGUAAGGACAUGUGGAGCGCUUAGAAGUGAGAAUGCCGGUGUGAGUAGCGAAAGACGGGUGAGAAUCCCGUCCACCGAUUGACUAAGGUUUCCAGAGGAAGGCUCGUCCGCUCUGGGUUAGUCGGGUCCUAAGCUGAGGCCGACAGGCGUAGGCGAUGGAUAACAGGUUGAUAUUCCUGUACCACCUAUAAUCGUUUUAAUCGAUGGGGGGGACGCAGUAGGAUAGGCGAAGCGUGCGAUUGGAUUGCACGUCUAAGCAGUAAGGCUGAGUAUUAGGCAAAUCCGGUACUCGUUAAGGCUGAGCUGUGAUGGGGAGAAGACAUUGUGUCUUCGAGUCGUUGAUUUCACACUGCCGAGAAAAGCCUCUAGAUAGAAAAUAGGUGCCCGUACCGCAAACCGACACAGGUAGUCAAGAUGAGAAUUCUAAGGUGAGCGAGCGAACUCUCGUUAAGGAACUCGGCAAAAUGACCCCGUAACUUCGGGAGAAGGGGUGCUCUUUAGGGUUAACGCCCAGAAGAGCCGCAGUGAAUAGGCCCAAGCGACUGUUUAUCAAAAACACAGGUCUCUGCUAAACCGUAAGGUGAUGUAUAGGGGCUGACGCCUGCCCGGUGCUGGAAGGUUAAGAGGAGUGGUUAGCUUCUGCGAAGCUACGAAUCGAAGCCCCAGUAAACGGCGGCCGUAACUAUAACGGUCCUAAGGUAGCGAAAUUCCUUGUCGGGUAAGUUCCGACCCGCACGAAAGGCGUAACGAUUUGGGCACUGUCUCAACGAGAGACUCGGUGAAAUCAUAGUACCUGUGAAGAUGCAGGUUACCCGCGACAGGACGGAAAGACCCCGUGGAGCUUUACUGUAGCCUGAUAUUGAAAUUCGGCACAGCUUGUACAGGAUAGGUAGGAGCCUUUGAAACGUGAGCGCUAGCUUACGUGGAGGCGCUGGUGGGAUACUACCCUAGCUGUGUUGGCUUUCUAACCCGCACCACUUAUCGUGGUGGGAGACAGUGUCAGGCGGGCAGUUUGACUGGGGCGGUCGCCUCCUAAAAGGUAACGGAGGCGCUCAAAGGUUCCCUCAGAAUGGUUGGAAAUCAUUCAUAGAGUGUAAAGGCAUAAGGGAGCUUGACUGCGAGACCUACAAGUCGAGCAGGGUCGAAAGACGGACUUAGUGAUCCGGUGGUUCCGCAUGGAAGGGCCAUCGCUCAACGGAUAAAAGCUACCCCGGGGAUAACAGGCUUAUCUCCCCCAAGAGUUCACAUCGACGGGGAGGUUUGGCACCUCGAUGUCGGCUCAUCGCAUCCUGGGGCUGUAGUCGGUCCCAAGGGUUGGGCUGUUCGCCCAUUAAAGCGGUAC